GGCUCAAUUUCCCUGAAACGUCUUUCUAGAUUAGAGUUAAGUGCUAGGGGGUCAUAAAAAUACAUGACAUCAAAAGCAGACGACAAUCUAUAUGUCCAAACUGAAGAUCUGAGCUAAAUUUGGGGUGAGAGCAAGUGUACAUUGAUUAUACGUCAAGUGGUAAAGAAAGUCCGUUCCAAGAGAAUCAACAUAUAUGUGAUCAUAAAUUAAAAAUCGGUAUUGACUGUUUAGGUGAACGUGUCCACAAGUCUCAUACGAUGUUAAUGAAUACGUAUGUGACAAUUCUGUGAUAUCACGUCCCACCCCCAGGAGUGACUAUGUCAACUAAACCGUUAUAUAAAUAUCUGUUUAUAGUAUAUGCGUAGCGAUAUUCAAAUAUAACUGCAAUGGAUUUACAGGUUACAUUUUUGAUUGUGUUCAGUGUUGGGUUAUUUUCAGGAAAUUCAGGUGGGAUUCCGGCUGUUACUCUUGUACAAUUACUAGAAGAAGAAUUAUAUAAGACAUUACAAGGGUGUGAAAACCACGAAGACUGUUCGUGUGUCGAUGGUGUAGCUGUUUGCUAUGGUGGAUGUUGUCAUUGUAUUUAUUCUCGGUUUAGAUGUAAAGAAAGUAUUAAUUGUUCUGAUGCUUGUCCUGACAACAAAUCAAUGUGUUUGCUUGAUAGGUGUCACUGUGUUACUGAACAAGCUGCCCAGCUUAUUGCUUUAGAAAAUGGAAACCAAAAUAACACGGAAUCCAAGAUAGAAGAUAUUUUAUCCCAAAUGCCUCACCGAAUUCAGACUAUUCCAGUAAUAUCCGUAAAACCGGCGAAAAAUGGAAGUCAAAGUCAAAUUAAACCAGUAAAAACAAAUGACACCAUUGCAAAACCACAUUUUUUAGAUAUGAAAUAAAAUCUAUAUUUCAAUAUAAUAUUAUAGGCAUAUUGUUUUACAUUAUUAAAAUUUGAUGCAUGGACCUGUGUGGGUCUGUAAA